rnacentral:rRNA from 1 species
AGAGUUUGAUCAUGGCUCAGGACGAACGCUGGCGGCGUGCCUAAUACAUGCAAGUCGUGCGAGGCUCUUCGGAGUCGAGCGGCGGACGGGUGAGUAACACGUGGGCAACCUGCCCGACAGGCCGGGAUAACGCUUGGAAACGAGUGCUAAUACCGGAUACGCUUUUGAGGCGCAUGCCUCGAAAGGGAAAGCUGCUUUUG